rnacentral:rRNA from 1 species
AAUAGAUACCCUGGUAGUCCACGCCGUAAACGGUGGGUACUAGGUGUGGGGUCCAUUUCACGGACUCCGUGCCGUAGCUAACGCAUUAAGUACCCCGCCUGGGGAGUACGGCCGCAAGGCUAAACUCAAAGGAAUUGACGGGGGCCCGCACAAGCGGCGGAGCAUGUGGAUUAAUUCGAUGCAACGCGAAGAACCUUACCUGGGUUUGACAUAUACCGGAAACACCUAGAGAUAGGUGCCCCCUUGUGGUCGGUAUACAGGUGGUGCAUGGCUGUCGUCAGCUCGUGUCGUGAGAUGUUGGGUUAAGUCCCGCAACGAGCGCAACCCUUGUCCUGUAUUGCCAGCGGGUUAUGCCGGGGACUUGCAGGAGACUGCCGGGGUCAACUCGGAGGAAGGUGGGGAUGACGUCAAGUCAUCAUGCCCCUUAUGUCCAGGGCUUCACACAUGCUACAAUGGCGCGUACAGAGGGCUGCGAGACCGUGAGGUGGAGCGAAUCCCUUAAAGCGCGUCUCAGUUCGGAUUGGGGUCUGCAACUCGACCCC